rnacentral:misc_RNA from 1 species
CCGAGUGAGGGCGCGAGCCCGACCUCCAACCCCAUGUCUUCCGAACCAUGUUGCCUCGGGGGCGACCCGGCCAUCGCGCCGGGGCCCCCGGUGGACCCCUCAACUCUGCAUCUCUGCGUCUGAGUCACAGAAUAAAUCAAUCA